ACUGAAAAUGGAUUGACUCUCACCAAUUAUUUUGAGAUGUUUACACAAUCUUCAGACUCUUUUGAUUAACUGACAUCUAUCUGGUCUUCACUGGGUAGACGUAGCAGAGCUAAGACUAGAAUUUGCCAAUCUUGGUAGUUGUUGCUUUCUGUUCUUGAUUGAUUAUCCGGGAGAAAGCAAAUCUUGAUCUUUCACCUUACUGUUUGUUAACAAACAUUAUAUAUUCAGCUUAUCUCUAGUUUUCUAUACUUUCUCUGGUCUAAUUACUUUAGCUUUUCCCCUCAUUCCUUGCUUAGAAUUAAAAACUUUAAGUGGUUGUGUAAACUGACAUUGCACAAUUUCUUCUAUUUCACAAAAUAAAUUCUCUACAAUCUUAUCUUGUUAUCUAUUGCAAACUUUGCUAAAGGUAAAAUAAACAUCUCAAAAAGUGCUUGAGUACAAUGCUUGGUCUCCUCAUGCAUUUUAGUACAAUCUAAUUUUAUUACAAACUAUUUUUCACACAAAAUCUCAACUACUAUUUCUCACUCAAGAAACUCCAGUUAUUCUUUCACCUGUAGACUCUGUGUUUACUUUUAAUAAAAAGGCAGCAUUUUGUUGGCUGUAAUUAGGUUUGGCUCAACCCAUUAGCUUUGCUAACAAUAAACUAAUUGUCAUUGAAACUUGUGUUUUAUCUGUCACCCUCUCCCCUCCUCCAUUUUCUAGCUUAGUGUAGUGACAGGAACAGGCGCAGCUGACUUGAAAUGCAUUAAUUUGUCUUUCUGAACCUCCGUUUUCUCAUUUGCAAAUACACCAUCUUAGGAUUGCUGAGCAAAAUUGAUCCAAUUCCUGCAAAAGAAUCAGCACUCAAUAAAUGUGAACGUCCUUGCCCUCAGAGAAGGAUCUUGUAGGAAAUUACACCAGCAAAGCAAAGUCACUGGAAAACAAAACCAUUCAAUUGUCUCCAAGUAUUUUGAUAUUGCUUAGUCAAUAGUAUUUUGGGAAAUGGAGAUCAGAAGUGUCCAACAUGCAGUGAUGUGGUGCUCAGAAGUGUCCAACAUGCAGUGAUGAAAAGGAGAAAUACAUACGGAAGGUGAGACCAAGAGCAACGAUGAAUAAUUCAGCAAAAACAAGAUGUCAGAAGAAGUGACUAGCAGAAAUGAAAGCCCCAAGAGUCCCUG
rnacentral:lncRNA from 1 species